GUCUACUGCCAUACCACCCUGAACACGCCUGAUCUCAUCUAAUCUCGGAAGUUAAGCAUGGUCAGGUCUGGUCAGUACUUGGAUGGGAGAACAAAACAAAAUUCUGGGAAACACAGGCCAGGGUGGAGA
ensembl:rRNA 5S_rRNA 5S ribosomal RNA